CAAUAGCGUAUAUUAAAGUUGUUGCGGUUAAAAGCUCGUAGUUGGAUUUCUGCUGAGGACGAUCGGUCCGCCCUCUGGGUGAGCAUUGACUCGGCCUUGGCAUCUUCUUGGAGAACGCUACUGCACUUGACUGUGUGGUGCGGUAUCCAGGACUUUUACUUUGAGGAAAUUAGAGUGUUUCAAGCAGGCGCACGCCUUGAAUACAUUAGCAUGGAAUAAUAGGAUAGGACCUUGGUUCUAUUUUGUUGGUUUCUAGGACCGAAGUAAUGAUUAAUAGGGACAGUUGGGGGCGAUUAGUAUUUAAUUGUCAGAGGUGAAAUUCUUGGAUUUAUGAAAGACUAACUACUGCGAAAGCAUUUGCCAAGGAUGUUUUCUAUUAAUCAAGAACGAAAGUUAGGGGAGUCGAAGAUGAUUAG
rnacentral:rRNA from 1 species